rnacentral:rRNA from 1 species
GACGAACGCUGGCGGCGUGCUUAACACAUGCAAGUCGAACGGAAAGGCCCUGCUUUUGUGGGGUGCUCGAGUGGCGAACGGGUGAGUAACACGUGAGUAACCUGCCCUUGACUUUGGGAUAACUUCAGGAAACUGGGGCUAAUACCGGAUAGGAGCUCCUGCUGCACGGUGGGGGUUGGAAAGUUUCGGCGGUUGGGGAUGGACUCGCGGCUUAUCAGCUUGUUGGUGGGGUAGUGGCUUACCAAGGCUUUGACGGGUAGCCGGCCUGAGAGGGUGACCGGCCACAUUGGGACUGAGAUACGGCCCAGACUCCUACGGGAGGCAGCAGUGGGGAAUAUUGCACAAUGGGCGGAAGCCUGAUGCAGCAGCGCCGCGUGCGGGAUGACGGCCUUCGGGUUGUAAACCGCUUUCGCCUGUGACGAAGCGUGAGUGACGGUAAUGGGUAAAGAAGCACCGGCUAACUACGUG